AACGAACGCUGGCGGCGUGGAUAAGACAUGCAAGUCGAACGGGACAGACCGAGUAGCAAUAUUUGGAAUGUUCAGUGGCGAACGGGUGCGUAACACGUGGAUAACAUUCCGGAAAGCGGGGAAUAGCCCAGGGAAACUUGGAUUAAUACCGAAUGUGGCCGCAAGGCUAAAGACGGGGACCGCAAGGCCUGUGACUUUCCGAUUGGUCCGCGGCGUAUCAGCACGUUGGCGGGGUAAUGGCCCCCCAAGGCUACGACGGGUAGCUAGUCGUAGAGGACGACCAGCCACACUGGACCUGAGACACGGUCCAGCCACCUACGGGUGGCAGCAGUCGAGAAUCUUUCACAAUGGGGGCAACCCUGAUGGAGCGCCGCCACGUGGAGGAUAAGGUCUUCGGAUUGUAAACUCCUGUCAUGCGAGAACAAGGUACUCAGGCUAAUAACCUGAUUGUUUGAUGGUACCGCAAGAGGAAGAGACGGCUAACUCUGUGCCAGCCGCCGCCGUAACAC
rnacentral:rRNA from 1 species